GAGGUGUUAGGAAACUCACUAUACAGCUGGGGAAGCUGAGCUUUCGAGACAAGGAAGAGGAGAUGGUGAUUUGAACUCAGGUGUUAGAUGUUGAUUCUGCCCAGGGUGCCUGUGUCAUAGAAGCUCCCAGAUUUUGAGCGACUGCAUCCUGAAUGGUAGUCCCCGCAGAGAUUUGACUUUCACCACUGGAAGCAGAGGUCACAGAAGGUUCGAGCAUUAUUUUCAGGAGGUAGAGUCCCCUUUGAGGACCUCAGUAAGUUACCCAUAAAUUAAAAAUACUCUGUCAUUGAAUUGGAUCAGAGGAUCUUCUCCAUAGUGUCAUGGCUACUCUGACUGACCAGCAAAAACUCUGCCCAGGCCAAGAGGUCAGAGAACUGCGGUAUUAAUCUCC
rnacentral:lncRNA from 1 species